rnacentral:rRNA from 1 species
UACGUAGGGUGCGAGCGUUAAUCGGAAUUACUGGGCGUAAAGCGUGCGCAGGCGGUUUUGUAAGCCAGAUGUGAAAGCCCCGGGCUUAACCUGGGAAUGGCAUUUGGGACUGCAAGGCUGGAGUGUGGCAGAGGAGACUGGAAUUCCUGGUGUAGCAGUGAAAUGCGUAGAUAUCAGGAGGAACACCAGCGGCGAAGGCGGCGCUCUGGGCUGGAACUGACGCUGAGGAGCGAAAGCGUGGGGAGCGAACAGG